GCGGAUAUAAUCAAAUGGUCAAAAUUUCUCUUUGCUAAGGAGAAGACGCGGGUUCGAUUCCCGCUAUCCGCU
rfam:Beta vulgaris subsp. vulgaris chromosome 9, whole genome shotgun sequence.